GUGUAUGAAUAUUAUGCGAACCAGGAGGCACCCCUCUACACUGAUAGCGGAAGUGCGCUCGCAUCAACAGGAAUUUCCCAUGAAGCGUAAGUCUACCACUGCAGAGGAUCACCACGUCAAUAUGGCCACACUAUCUCGCCAGCUUGGGGCAAAUUCUUGAGCCUAGGGUG